rnacentral:rRNA from 1 species
UACAGAGGUCUCAAGCGUUGUUCGGAUUCAUUGGGCGUAAAGGGUGCGCAGGCGGUUAGGUCAGUCAGAUGUGAAAUUCUGGAGCUCAACUUCAGAACUGCAUUUGAUACUGCUUGACUAGAGUCCUAUAGAGGAGACUGGAAUUUACGGUGUAGCAGUGAAAUGCGUAGAUAUCGUAAGGAAGACCGGUGGCGAAAGCGAGUCUCUGGAUAGCGACUGACGCU